UUCCAAUGAUGAGUUUGCCAUGCUAAUACUGAUGCAUCAGAGUUUUUCACUCUGGGUGUAAGUGAGUUCAGCUAAACUUCUCACACUUUCAGUGUGCUCUGAGGAAA